rnacentral:rRNA from 1 species
GACAGAGGGGGCAAGCGUUGCUCGGAAUUACUGGGCGUAAAGGGCGCGUAGGCGGGAUGGCAAGUCGGUCGUGAAAUCCCUCGGCUCAACCGAGGAACGUCGAUCGAUACUGCUGUUCUUGAGGAUUGCAGAGGAGACUGGAAUUCCCGGUGUAGCGGUGAAAUGUGUAGAGAUCGGGAGGAACACCGGUGGCGAAGGCGGCCUUCUGGACGAUGACUGACGCUGAGACGCGAAAGCGUGGGGAGCAAACAGG